GAAAGACUGCUUUCUCGUUUCUUCAGCAAACUGAUAGGUGAACCGGUUACAUUCCUGAAAAAGAAAUGAACAUCUGACCCUCUGCAUUGUCCACAUGAAUUCAUCCCUCUUCCAAAAUUCCUCCCAUUGCUCUGGAUUCCACACGCCCACCCAGCCGGACACAGGAUGCCACACUCUUUUGCACAAGUGUGCAAACCUCCCCCCUCCCUUCUCCUUAUCCACUCUUCUUAGCCCCAGGGCAAAUUACUUGUUCUUACAAUUUGUCUCUCUCUCUCUCUCUUUUUUUUUUCUUUCUUUUUAAGCCACCUCAAAUGGCCUUACUCGACAAUUGAAAAGGCCUUGAAGACUGAAAUUCUAAUUUAGAACAUUUUUCUACAGAUUGCCACGCACAAUUAACCCUCUCUCCCUCCCCAAUUCCGGGGCCUCAGAAGCAUUUCAAUUGCAGCCCCACAAGGGCACAGAUGAAUGACUACGGAUGCAGAAAGCACAGUGGCUCUCUCUCUGGAGGUGUGUCUUGAGCAGUGGACAGCCUACAAGUCCCUGGGGCAGGGAUCCUCAAGGCCGGCUGUCACGGCAUGUUCAUGGGACCCUGCAAGCUGGGAGUAAUCACCUCACUUGGCAGCCUUGAGACUCAUCCUCGGGCACGAAUGGGUUAAAUCCUCGUCUUCUGAUGGUUCAAAGCCAUCCGCCUGUCAAGACAGAAGCAACCAAGGAUCCUGCAGAAGCCCCGGCAAAGGCCUUGACACCCUUCAGCAGCCUCUUGCCAUGUCUGCAAAAUGCAGAUGCUGCCCCCAAGUG